rnacentral:rRNA from 1 species
AGAGUUUGAUCCUGGCUCAGGACGAACGCUGGCGGCGUGCUUAACACAUGCAAGUCGAACGGUGAAGCCCUUCGGGGUGGAUCAGUGGCGAACGGGUGAGUAACACGUGAGCAACCUACCCUCCACUCUGGGAUAACUCCGGGAAACCGGUGCUAAUACCGGAUACGAGCAUCGACCUCAUGGUCUGGUGCUGGAAAGAAUUUUGGUGGGGGAUGGGCUCGCGGCCUAUCAGCUUGUUGGUGAGGUAAUGGCUCACCAAGGCGACGACGGGUAGCCGGCCUGAGAGGGCGACCGGCCACACUGGGACUGAGACACGGCCCAGACUCCUACGGGAGGCAGCAGUGGGGAAUAUUGCACAAUGGGCGAAAGCCUGAUGCAGCGACGCCGCGUGAGGGAUGACGGCCUUCGGGUUGUAAACCUCUUUCAGCUCCGAAGAAGCGAGAGUGACGGUAGGAGCAGAAGAAGCACCGGCUAACUACGUGCCAGCAGCCGCGGUAAUACGUAGGGUGCAAGCGUUGUCCGGAAUUAUUGGGCGUAAAGAGCUCGUAGGUGGUUCGUCGCGUCUGCUGUGAAAGUCCGAGGCUUAACCUCGGAUCUGCAGUGGGUACGGGCGGACUAGAGUGCGGUAGAGGAGAUGGGAAUUCCUGGUGUAGCGGUGGAAUGCGCAGAUAUCAGGAGGAACACCGGUGGCGAAGGCGCAUCUCUGGGCCGUAACUGACGCUGAGGAGCGAAAGCAUGGGGAGCAAACAGGCUUAGAUACCCUGGUAGUCCAUGCCGUAAACGUUGGGCGCUAGGUGUGGGGUCCUAUCCACGGAUUCCGUGCCGCAGCUAACGCAUUAAGCGCCCC